CUUCAGAAUCGUGCCCCGCGGCGGCGACAACGGGGAACAAUAUCUCCUCGUUGCGCUUGUUACGCGGUGACCUCGAAGGAUUACCGGCUUCACAUCACUGCCUGGAAACAGGGAAGAAGUCCCGAAGCAGUCCUUCCCGGGAAGGAGCGUCAUGGGUUAUCGGGAUGUCGCCUGCAUCAAUGGCAUUAAAGUCUCAGCAAUUCAAAUGAGCCAAAUAAUACAGCUAUCUGUGUCAUUGAGCCUGAUUCUUACAAAUCUGAGAACAAAC